AUUGAUUUGUAAAAAUCUAAAAAGCAUCAGUAGUAUUGUGGAUUCAUUCUGGAGACUAGCAAAGCAAGAGAAGACAUAUUCCAUAAUUGUAGCCAAAAUAAGUAUGGAGAGAACUAGCCAGUAGCUUGUUCCUUUUUUUUAUAUAUCCAAAGCAGCAAAACUUCUGACAAAACUCCUUGUACCAAGAAGCUCCAUUAAACUGCAGGCAGGAGGAAGAAGAAGAAGGCUGAACCAACCGAGCACUUAGUAUCCGUUCGCUACACCACUUCUCUUCUCUGAUGGUGAUGAUGUAACUGGUUUUGCGCCGCCCUUUGGGGCAUCUACAGUUUUCAAAACUGAUCCAUUUUCAGAGAUCUUCGUAUCCUCCUUUACCAAAUCAUUUGUGGCUUCAACUGGCUUUGGAGUUUUCACAUCCACUACUUCAGAAACUUCCUUCUUGUCAUCAGUAGGCUUUCCUUCCCAAACCUGUUUCUUGAACUGCUGUUGCUUGGCUUUCUUCUCUUGGAUUGUCUUCUGUCGUGCCUCGUAGAAACCAAAAUCGUCCAAAAUGCAUGUUUUGCUUGCAUGCUCCUUGAAGAUUUUUACCAUCUUAAGUCCAGGCUCCAGCUUAACCUCCUGUGUGUCCCUGCUAUUGGUAACAGGCUUGUUCUCAUUGUUCUCA
rnacentral:misc_RNA from 1 species